rnacentral:tRNA from 1 species
UAUAUUUUGGUGUAGGAUGCACAAAAGUUUUUGAUACUUUUAGAAAUAGUUUAAUUCUAUUAAAUAUAA